rnacentral:rRNA from 1 species
CUUUCCUACGGGGCGCAGCAGUGGGGAAUAUUGCACAAUGGGGGAAACCCUGAUGCAGCAACGCCGCGUGAGUGAAGAAGUCAUUCGUGAUGUAAAGCUCUAUCAGCAGGGAAGAAAAUGACGGUACCUGAGUAAGAAGCCCCGGCUAACUACGUGCCAGCAGCCGCGGCAAUACGUAGGGGGCAAGCGUUGUACGGAUUUACUGGGUGUAAAGGGCGUGCAGCCGGGAUUGCAAGUCAGAUGUGAAAUCCGCGGGCUUAACCCGCG